CCUACGGGUGGCUGCAGUGAGGAAUAUUGGUCAAUGGGCGCGAGCCUGAACCAGCCAAGUCGCGUGAGGGAAGACGGUCCUAUGGAUUGUAAACCUCUUUUGUCGGGGAGCAAAAGACGCCACGCGUGGCGUUCCGAGAGUACCCGAAGAACAAGCAUCGGCUAACUCCGUGCCAGCAGCCGCGGUAAUACGGAGGAUGCGAGCGGUAUCCGGAUAUAUUGGGUUUAAAGGGUGCGCAGGCGGAAGAGCAAGUCAGCGGUAAAAUUGAGAGGCUCAACCUCUUCGAGCCGUUGAAACUGGUUGUCUUGAGUGAGUGAGAAGUAUGCGGAAUGCGUGGUGUAGCGGUGAAAUGCAUAGAUAUCACGCAGAACUCCGAUUGCGAAGGCAGCAUACCGGCGCUCAACUGACGCUCAUGCACGAAAGUGUGGGUAUCGAACAGGAUUAGAUACCCGGGGAGUC
rnacentral:rRNA from 1 species